rnacentral:lncRNA from 10 species
GGCGGGGUCAGUGGCACCACGCUUUGCAAGGCAAAGGAGCUACAGUCUGGAAGCCGGAGCUUGCCUGGGGGUGCCCACCCCACCAGCAGUCAGAGCCAGGGAGGGCACCCGACCUCCAGAUAGACCAGCCCAGAGCUGAUGUGGGGCGAUGACGAGGGAGGAAGAUGAGGAGACUGAGGCUUGGAGAAUUUGAAGCAGCACCUCCACCAUCGCCAUCCACGUCUUCUACCUCCCAGGCUUGCACAGGGCACACUGGCUACCCUGCGGACCCCUGGGAGACCCAAGCAGGGUGGCCCGGGCUCUGCCUUCUCUGAGGUGGGGUCAGCCCUGCUCAGGUCGUUGCAGGAGGGCUGCUGAAGAGGCAGCCUUGUUGGAAUCCGGCGCCCAUGGCAAGACUCUCUUGUGAGGUUUCCGACAAUCCCUGCCCACAUUUUCCUCCGCUCCUUCCUGGUGCCACCAGACUCCUGGCCCUCAAUGUCUGCUGCCCUGGCCCCUUGAGAGUCCGCUGGAGCCUAGCGCAGAGCAGAUGGGCGAUGUUCACCCAGAGCAGCCAUUCUGACUCUGUCCCUCGGGUCUGGUACAUACUGUGUGCCAAGGUUAAUUAAACCGGUAAUUAGAAGGAG